GUGCAGUGAACACCCAGGUGUGCUUCAUAGUUCUCUUGGCUUUGACUUGCUGCUAGAAAAAUGCCUGCUCUUUUCCUCUACAUUGGAAGGACUGGCUAUUCCUUUUAAAUGUACUCCGAGAGUCAGCAAAAAC